GAAAUCAACGGAGUGCCUCGAGGAUGCGUCCGGGACUCGGGAACCUUCGUCCACCUUCGGCGUAGGCAAUUGCGUAUAUCCAACGCAAACUUCUACCCAACACCGACCGUUCCACCGACCCAUCCUUGUCGGCCACAACAACUAAGAAGGAUCCAUCUCAGCCGUUGCUUCUUUCUUUUAUUCUCUGAUCUAGAUCGUUGGCUGCCUCACUGCAACCCUAUAAAGGACGGCUCCCUGCCCUUAAAUACGACCUUUGUUUUGGUUGAGGCAAUGCGUCGUUACGCGUCUGCGGUGUCCUUUAAGUGGAUCCUCAGCCAUCCGUAAUCGAUGAUUUCGUUUUCGGAUUGGACGAUCCGUCGAUCGUUGAUUUCGUUUUCGGAUUGGAUGAUCUGUUUCCGAUAGGUGGUGCAUCCAAAUCCUCAGCCAUCCCUUAAUCGUUGAUUUCGUUGACGAAUGGGAUGUUCUGUUCUCGGCACUUGAAACAGAUCUACUUUCCAUGCGGGGGUGUAUCAAAAGCCUUUUGUUCAUGUGGCUUUCGUUUUCGGGGACUUGGACAUUGGUCUUGAACGAAUCGGGUGAUCUAUUUUCAAUCGCUGCGGAUCGGAAGCGUUUGAUAUCUGUUGUUUUUGUUUUCUGAACGAAUUGGAUGAUCUAUUUUUUUCCCAAAGGAAUAUUGAGAGGCUAGGAGUUCCGAUUAGUGGAAUCCGACUAGUGGAUUAUUCUUUAACCGCUCUUUUUUUUUAUUUUCUUGCGAUCUAUCAGAGGC
rnacentral:lncRNA from 1 species